UACGAAGGGGGCUAGCGUUGUUCGGAAUUACUGGGCGUAAAGCGUGCGCAGGCGGCUUCUCAAGUCAGGGGUGAAAGCCCAGAGCUUAACUCUGGAAUUGCCUUUGAGACUGAGAGGCUUGAGUACGGGAGAGGUGAGUGGAAUUCCCAGUGUAGAGGUGAAAUUCGUAGAUAUUGGGAAGAACACCGGUGGCGAAGGCGGCUCACUGGCCCGUAACUGACGCUCAUGCACGACAGCGUGGGGGAUCAAACAGG
rnacentral:rRNA from 1 species